GAUUCAAUUUUAAGAAGGUGUCUAG
rnacentral:piRNA from 1 species